ACCUACUCCCUCCGUCUCAUUUUAAGGGCAACUAUCGAUCGUCCGUUUUAUUUUUUUUAUGAUUAGUAUUUUUAUUGUUAUUAGAUGAUAAAACAUGAAUACUACUUUAUGCAUGACUUAUGUUUUUAAAUAUUUUUUUAAAAUAGAGUUUAAAUAAGACAGAUGAUUAAAGUUGGAAAAAAACUUAUGGUUGCGCUUGAA
rnacentral:pre_miRNA from 1 species